GCUAGCUGGCUGCCGGCCGCAUGGAACUCUGGGUAGGAGAGUGGGCCAAGGUUAGACUUUGUUGACAGUCUGUCCUGGCAUAACGUUACGAAGUGCAGUCAGAUGUACACACAGCGACAAAACGAAACAAGAAAAUGAACCAUAAUACACCACGAAAUGACAAGACCCACCUUGCUCCAUGGUGCGAUGAGGUAGAUGAUGGACAGGAUGGGGACUAGCACGAUGCCCACUGGAAUGGCCAGCAUCAGCUCCCUGGGGAGUAUACAACACAAGCAGCCUGUGAAGCUCUGGGUGAACAGAGGCAUAUUUCAAACAAAGACAUUUUCCUGAGGAGACACCAAUGUAACACGUGUUUCAGUUUGGGGCAGGAUUGAAACAACCCAGAAAUCAAGGUCCCGAACACAGUCACCCAUCCAACUACUCUCCGCAACAAACAUUGCUUAACGACACCUGAUUUGUGACUGUGACUUGUGCGCUGUGAACAGGACCACGCGGUCGGUAUUUUUCGAUGUUAUCAUAAUAUGGAAUUCACCCGAAGGUAUUGGCAACAUGCGAUGACAUGUCUUCUCUCUGUGUACAAUCGUUUAAUAUAAUCGGCGACAAUACAAAAUAACUAAAAUAUUAAUAUUCUUAAAAAACACCUUUCAAUACACCAUUGAUCCUUUUUGCACCAUCAGCCACGAAGACUACUCUCAAAUGAACAUGUUCCUGACGCCAUUCAUAAUUAAUUUUUGAACUGAUCCUGCUCUCUGAAUCUUCCGUCAGUAGGAAUGAUGUACAAUUUGAUACACGCAAAGGGGUGUCCUUGCUAUUGCAGUAUCGUCGAGGGAUUUAGGCUGCAUCAUAAAUACCCUUUGUUCUCUAUCAUGGUACUUCUUCACGAUUUAGUAUGGGAACAACAAGAGUAGAAGUAUAUUACAUUUUACCAGCGUUCGAAAUACCUGCCUGCCCGACCGUCCGAGACGGGUUGAUUUCAACUCGGGCCGCCAGAUUUUCAAAUCCCCCUGCCCGACGGUCGGGUUAUAUUUCAUAUGUGAAAAUAUUCUAAAUAUUUCCCGAUGAUAAUCAUUAAUUCACAUGUAAAGAUGAAUGAUAAAAUGUAACCAAAAAGAAACCCCGUUAGCUUUGAGACAACCUAAAAUUUAGGCCCUAUUUAGGAAUAAGGAUAUUUACAUGAUGUAUUCUAGGAUAUUAAAUACAAAUCUGACCUAAAAA